rnacentral:rRNA from 2 species
GACGAAGGAUGCAAGCGUUAUCCGGAUUCAUUGGGUUUAAAGGGUGCGUAGGCGGCCCGGUAAGUCAGUGGUGAAAUCUCUGAGCUCAACUCAGAAACUGCCAUUGAUACUGCUGGGCUUGAGUACAGUUGCUGUGGGCGGAAUAUGACAUGUAGCGGUGAAAUGCAUAGAGAUGUCAUAGAACACCGAUUGCGAAGGCAGCUCACAAAACUGUAACUGACGCUGAGGCACGAAAGUGCGGGGAUCAAACAGG